rnacentral:rRNA from 1 species
AAUAGCCUAACGGCUGAACCAGCAACUUGGAGGAAUGUACUGCGAAAGCUAAUUGCACACUCUAACGGUGUAGUAAUUUCGAUUUAAUCGAUUAAAAUUCUGGGUAGAAUUAUGAUAAUGACAUUAUCUACCUAUAAGUCUUGACAAAAUUACGUGCCAGCAGUCGCGGCAAUACGUAAAAGGCUAGUGUUACUCAUAUUUAGUAGGUUUAAAGGGUACCUAGACGGGAUAUUAAGCCUUGAAACAGGGACUAAUUUGCUAGAGUUACUAAAAAGGGGUAUGAAAGUACUGCUGGUGUAGAGAUAAAAUAUGUUGAUACCUCUUUUCUUAGGAAAAUGGAUGGCACGAGUUUAGGCGAAAGCAUCCCCUUAUGUGAUAACUGACGUUGAAGGACGAAGGCUUCGUGUAGCGAACAGGAUUAGUUACCCCAGUAGUCGAAGCAGAAAAUGAUGAGUGUCAUAGAUCGAACUUAAAUAUAUUUGAUCUACAAACUAAAGUUAAAACACUCCACCUCAAGAGUAAUUUGGCAACAUUGGAACUGAAAUCAUUAGACCGUUUCUGAAACCAGUAGUGAAGUAUGUUGUUCAAUUAGAUUCUGCACCAAAAACCUUACCACAAUUUGAAUAAUUUUUAUCUUUAUUGCUUUUUUUAUUUUAAUAAAAACAAAUAGAUACAAUUUACAAGCGUUGCACGGCUGUCUUCAGUUAAUGUCGUGAGAUAUUGGUUAGUUCCAUGAAUUAACGUAAACCCAUGCCUUAUUUUUAUAUAAAGUAGUCCUCCAGUUACAACGGUAUAGAUAACAAGGGAUCAAGACAAGUCAUCAUGACCUUUAUAUUGUGGGCUACAAACGUGCCACAUCGACCAUAACAAAGGGAUGCUAAAUUGCAAAAUUCAGCUAAUCCCUAAAAUUGGAUAUACAUUUUUAAU